rnacentral:rRNA from 1 species
UGGGGAAUAUUGGACAAUGGGCGAAAGCCUGACCCAGCAACGCCGCGUGAAGGAUGAAGUAUUUCGGUAUGUAAACUUCGAAAGAAUAGGAAGAAUAAAUGACGGUACUAUUUAUAAGGUCCGGCUAACUACGUGCCAGCAGCCGCGGUAAUACGUAGGGACCAAGCGUUGUUCGGAUUUACUGGGCGUAAAGGGCGCGUAGGCGGCAAUUCAAGUCAUCUGUGAAAUCUCCGGGCUUAACUCGGAACGGUCAGAUGAUACUGCUUUGCUAGAGUGCAGAAGGGGCAAUCGGAAUUCUUGGUGUAGCGGUGAAAUGCGUAGAUAUCAAGAGGAACACCUGAGGUGAAGACGGGUUGCUGGGCUGACACUGACGCUGAGGCGCGAAAGCCAGGGGAGCAAACGGGAUUAGAUACCCGCGUAGUCCCUGAGCGGGCUGGCAAGGCGCAU